UACGUAGGGCGCAAGCGUUGUCCGGAAUUAUUGGGCGUAAAGAGCUCGUAGGUGGUCUGUUGCGUCCGCUGUGAAAACCCAGGGCUUAACUCUGGGCUGGCAGUGGAUACGGGCAGACUAGAGGUAGGUAGGGGAGAAUGGAAUUCCCGGUGUAGCGGUGAAAUGCGCAGAUAUCGGGAGGAACACCGGUGGCGAAGGCGGUUCUCUGGGCCUUACCUGACGCUGAGGAGCGAAAGCGUGGGGAGCGAACAGG
rnacentral:rRNA from 1 species